AACCCGCUACGCGACCCCUGGGGAUGGCUGCCAUGUGCGCCCAGAGUCCUUCUAAAAUUCUACCUUCGACCUCUCCCAGCAAACCGGAGCUCCCCCAGCUGUCAACACUGUGGCAAUCUCCAGUAAAAACCUUAGUCUUCCCUGAUUAUCUGUCAAACCCGCAUCUGAGUGAAGCCUCACUGCGCACUCCUCUGGUCUCUCGGAUGCCCACCGGGUGCAGGGCACGGUCCCCACGCCAGCCGGUACCUACUCGCAGACCCAAAAGGGAAGACACAUCCUCCAGGGCCACCCAGGUACCGGACAGCGCAGGCCCGACGGCUGUCCGU
rnacentral:lncRNA from 1 species